rnacentral:rRNA from 1 species
AUUGAACGCUGGCGGCAGGCCUAACACAUGCAAGUCGAGCGGAUGAAGGGAGCUUGCUCCUGGAUUCAGCGGCGGACGGGUGAGUAAUGCCUAGGAAUCUGCCUGGUAGUGGGGGAUAACGUCCGGAAACGGGCGCUAAUACCGCAUACGUCCCGAGGGAGAACGUGGGGGAUCUUCGGACCUCACGCUAUCAGAUGAGCCUAGGUCGGAUUAGCUAGUUGGUGGGGUAAAGGCCUACCAAGGCGACGAUCCGUAACUGGUCUGAGAGGAUGAUCAGUCACACUGGAACUGAGACACGGUCCAGACUCCUACGGGAGGCAGCAGUGGGGAAUAUUGGACAAUGGGCGAAAGCCUGAUCCAGCCAUGCCGCGUGUGUGAAGAAGGUCUUCGGAUUGUAAAGCACUUUAAGUUGGGAGGAAGGGCAGUAAGUUAAUACCUUGCUGUUUUGACGUUACCAACAGAAUAAGCACCGGCUAACUUCGUG